rnacentral:lncRNA from 13 species
AUGACCCAAUCUGCAUCAUCAGACGCAUUUUCUAUCCUGUCGAAAAAUUAACGAGAAAAUCAGAGACUCCGCUGCAUUUCAUCAACGCGCGAACCGAAUAAUGUAGCGGUCAAAUUUUGUUACUAUAACGGAAUUAAUGUCGUGAGUCAAUCAGUAAAGGCGUGAAGAUUAACCUUUAGAAUGCUGCAGGAUUUUUGCUUAAAUCAUGAAAAUUUUGUCCUACGAAAGAAGUGUGUGCGCUAGCAAAAUACAACAUUGGUUUCGAGACGUUAUAACAUCCCAUAGAUCUGCACGGAAAAAUUAAAAAAAAAAACAAAAAAAAAACAAAAAGUAUGAAAUAUAGAAAAAAAAAUAGUGCACUCGAUAAAAUGAAAAAAUAUGUAUAUAUGGAUGUCCAUAGACUAACGUAGAAUAUGUGCAACUUUAUUUCGUCUGGGUGACUACAUGAAGAUACAAAACAAAGUUCAGGGAUUGCUUCUGUCAUUCUUGCGCUUCACCAGUCAAGAUGUCGACAGCUUUUCCCAAGAAAAAGUCGAAGAAGAGGAGAAAAA